rnacentral:lncRNA from 1 species
AUGACCAAACCUAGCAAUAUAGUUCUUCAUGUGUGCAAUAUGAUCUUGCUCCCAGUGAACCCUCUUCAUCUGGUUCUCCUCCAACUCCAGCCGUGUCUUCACAUACUGAUCAUAAUUACCCUCUUUAAUUCUUCUUCCAACCACACACAGGCAUCGAGGUCCAGGUGGUUGGUGGGCUUGUCCAGGAGCAGCAUGAAGGGCCGAAUGAAGAGGGCUCUGGCAAGGGCAACCCUCAUUCUCCAGCCCCCACUGAAGUCUUUCAGCUUCUUGGGCUGCAUGGCAGGAGUGAAACCCAAACCAUGCAAGAUCCGUGAGGCCCUCAACUCCGCCUUGUCGGCAUCCAGCUCUUCCAGUCACUCAUAGAGCUCCAUGAGCUUCUCACACUUGGCAUCCUCGUGAGCCAGCUGCUCAGCCUCCCUCUCCAGCAUGGCCCGCUCUGUGUCGACUUCCAUCACACACUGCAAGGGUGUCUUGUCACUAGGGGGCAUCUCCCGAGUCAGAUGGUAGAUGUCAAUGUGCUCAGGGAUGGGCACUUCCCAUUUCCCAAUAGCAGAGAGCAGCAUAGACUUUCCAAUUCCAUUUCAGCCAAUGAGGCCAUAAUGACGGCCUGAGUUUAAUUCGUUUAGUGUCACUGAGCAGCUCUUGACCAUGAAAGGUGAGGGAGAGGUUGAUAAUGUGGGCGUCAGUACUGUUGGGGUGAGAGGCAAGGACACCAGUGACAGCUCGAGCAGCAGCUUUCUUCAUCUCAAAGUCCUCUAGCUCCUUUGUCAGCAAAUCCACUUCUGUGGUCUCUCGGCCAUUGGCUUCAUUUUUCUCUUCUGCCAUCUGUGGUUCUGUGACAGUAUCUCCAUUUUCUUCGUGUCCCUUUCUGGGCCGCUGUCAUGCUUUGGCAGCUUCCUUCUUUUUGGCUGCCUUCUUCUUGGCCAGGUCAGAGGGCAUGGUGAUGAACCACAGGGGUACGAAACUGUUCUUACAGGGAGUUGGGCCUCGCUGCUCGGCCUCUGUUGCAACAGAGCUGCUCCCUGGGCUCCUCCAAUAAAUUAAUUCUGUUAAGGUCGCAGGAUACAAAAUCUAUAUACAGAAAUCCAUUGCAUUUCUA